CGUGGCCGCGCAUGCGCAGAUGCGGGGCGGGACUGGACCGGCGGUGUGUGGGGGGGACGGAGCCCAGAGUCCGGCCCUGAGGGGAGCGGCACGACGCCAUCCAUCGCAUUACACAGCCGGGGGGGAACCGUAGAAGGGUAAAGGAGAAAAGGGAAGAAAUAAAAAAAAAACAAAGAGUAGAGGGGAAAAAAAAAUAGGCUUGGAGAAGAGGAGAGAGAACAAGUCAAAACCGAGCGAGGCGGCGGUGCCAUCAUGUCGGCGGGCGGGGACUUCGGCAACCCGCUAAGGAAAUUCAAGCUGGUGUUUCUGGGCGAGCAGAGCGGUCACUCCUGAGAUUUGCCUGAGCCCUUUGCAGACCCUGUGUGGCAACAAAUGACCUCCUAAAGCCAUGUGAGCGUGGAGCAAUGCUCUGUACCUAAUGGCUCUUCAUCCCUCGCUCCUGUGAGAGCCUCCCCAGUGACUUGUUACUGCUUGGAGUGCCAAGAGCAGCAAGCUGUGGCACAGAGGAAUUGCUGGUGCCCACUAUUUAUCAACGUCAUUAUACAGUGGUUGGGGAUGGACACGCAAAGCUCCAAAAGCAGCACAGUGCUCUCAAGAAUAGGAUGGAUGACCUUGAAAUCUCUCCCGGAGCUGCUGUCAGAUCACAGUUGCUGGAACGAUGAGAUUAACGUAUUGAUUUCAUCUCGCAAAUGAAUGCUUUCUGCAAUAAGUGCUAGGCAGUGGCUCGGGGCUUCGCAGACAAAGAGUAUCGAUCAGGUUGACUCAAUUAGCUGCUGAAGGCUUUGAAUUUGGGCCCCUGGAGUUAAUGGCAAUUUCACAGGCAGAAGCUUCACAAGUUCCCAUCCUUUAACUCAAUUAUGUGUCUUGGAUGCUUCGCUGUUUGCUGUCACUCAUUCAGUUGCUGAUUUAGAAAGAUACCGGGUAUCUUGUCUGUGUGCUAAACAGCCCUAAACCAAACCUUUCCUUUCAGGAGUCUCCUCUUUUCAUACAGCACAACAGCAGCUUGCUUUCUGUUCCAUUACAUACUAAAGCCUGGCUCUUUAUCACAGUGAGGGCAGAGGAAUGCCUGCGCUUUCUGCCUUGCACAGCACAACGCUUUUCUCUCUGCUCCCCCUGGGUUGUCAGCAUUGGUUGCUUUUCCUUGCAGGGCUGGAUCUGUGCACUUAAGCAAUGGUGUGUGAGGCGCAGCUGUGUGAUUAGAGCUGGGUAAUGCAGGCUUUCUUCUCAUUGCAUCAGGAGCUUAAAGGAGCAGAAAGCACAUCUAAUGAAACCCACGGUGCUGCUGGUGUUCAGCUGCUUAGAAAAGUUUCCAAGCUUAAUAUUGAGGUGCUGGAACAAAUGGUUUUUAGGUUAAUCACUUCUUUUCUCAGCUUCUCAUUGCUUCCAAAUGUUGUUGAGUGCUUUGUGUCUGAGUCCCUGCAGUAGAAUGACACGGACAGCUCUGCACGCCAAGGAGCAGAGCAUCCACUGCCCAUCUGAACAGCUUAUUUCAGAUUUUCAUGAGCUUUAAAAUUGCACACCUUCUCUGAUGGGACCUUGGGGUGGCUUUUAGCUGGUGGGAUCAUAGGAUGAUAGAAUGGCCUGGGUUGCAAAGGCCCACAGUGCUCAUCCAGCUCCAACUCCCUGCUAUGUGCAGGGUCCUCUAACACAGCCCUCAUUGCCUCCAGCAGCUCCCUCUGCUCCAGCCUCACCCUGCACAGAGGUACAGCCACAUUCACCGUGUUCCUUCCCCCACCUUUAUUCCUCCAGGGAUAUGUUAACACAUACCAGGCAGAUUUUGGCUUACAGGAUGUUGGAUGCUACCGCAUUGCUGACUAACGCUGCCCUGGACGUGUUUGUGUGUUGAAAUACUUCCAAGAGCUCAAAUUAACACUGUAGCUCCCAAUGGAUCCUUGCUGAAGUCUUGCUUGUCUUCUGCCUUGGGUGUAGCCCCCACUUUGCUUCCCCAGGUGUUUGCAGUGAGUUUUAGGCAGCCAGGUAUGUUGUGCUGCUUCUCCCUGCUGAGCUUCAUUUUCCACUUCAGGUCACUUCUCCAUAUCUUCAAACUGAUUUUGAAUUCUGAUUCUGUCCUGCAUCUUGCUUGCAAUCACUCCCAGAUUAAAUGCCUUUUGUCACUUUAAUAAACAUAGAACCAGUGAAGCAGGAGAGAUAGCAAGUGAAAACAGGAUGGGAUUCGGGUUCUCAGUCUGUAAAUCAGUAAAGAUGAAGGCCACGCACAGGAGUUCAGCUCCCCAUUAUGAAGUUCCAAAUACAAAUGAUGCUAAACCAGAACUCAUCCAAGGGGCUCAGCUCCAAAUGUGGCCUGUUGGUCCCUCCUUGGUGCUCUGCCAAGGGGAAAUAGGGGGUCACUGAGUUCUACAGGUGGCUGCAAGAGGAAGGUCUUACCCAUUCCCUUCUCCAUCCCCUUCUCCUUCCCCUUCCCAUUUCCUCCCCUUUUGCUAUUCCCUUUCCCUUUGAAUUAUAAAUACAGUGGGAACUGUGAGCUUUCACAUCCACGAGGAUCUUGUAAGCGAGGUGAUUUUCUUAUAUAUUUGGUGACUGUUCAGUAAUCAUAGUGGAAUUAAACCUGUAUAAUCAUGGUGGAAUUAAACCCGUAAGCAGCUGCUCUUCAUGCUGGUGUGGUCUGGUGCCUGCUGAUGUGCUGUGUAAGGGGGAAGCACUUAUUGCAGUGCUCUUCACCUGUGCUUGGAGAUGGCAAAUCAGAGGUGCCAGGAGACUGGGAGAAAUCAGCUGGAGCCAAUGAUUCCUGAGUAAAUCCAGCUGUUUCCUAAGGGAUCUACCUUCGCUUAAAGGUAUUUGGACACCAAGCCAAGGUUCAGGUGUUCAUGAGCCUGCCUAUGUAGAAAGGUGCAAUGAGUGCAGUGUCAAAGAAAGGGCGAAGCUGGUUGCAGGCACUGUGGGCACGUGGUGAACAUCUCAGCACUGAUGCUUUUCAGUCCUGUCUUCUCAUAUUGUGUUUGCUUGAAACUGGCAUUGAAAUUGUUCCUUGAAACUGUGUUUUUGUUUUUGUCUCCUUGUAGUUGGGAAGACCUCUCUGAUCACCAGGUUUAUGUAUGACAGUUUCGACAAUACUUACCAGGUAAAUGGAUCCCUGUUUAUCUUCUCUAAGGCUUCUUCGUUGCAGGCAGAACCCAUUGGGCUGCAGUAGAUAAUAGGACACACACCACAUUCUUAGCUGUUACAUCUUAAAGCUUUAUAUUUCAAUAACCUUUCAGAAUGGCAUUUCAUGCAGGAAUAGCUUAUCUGCAGCUCGCAGCAGGAUGAGCUGUAGCUAUAAAGGAUAGACCUCUUAGGUACACAGAAGUGACAGCAGCUGUAAGUCUGCCAGGUUUUUCACUGCUUGCUACCAGAUCAUUGCAGAUCUUAUGGAGAACAGAGCAGGCACUUCGUUCCUUAAAAAAGAAGAGGCAGAAAGCUGAGCCGUAGGAUCUGGGUGCUUUAGGAUGCUGUGCAGGCUUUCUAAAUGCCAGGGGAACAGUCAUUGUUAUCCACUCCCACACCGUAGGACGAGCCUGGAAAGGUGGCAAGCUACAAAAGCAAUUCAGUUUCAUAAACUAAAGUGGGUCUUCUCUAAGCCACAACGUGCUUCACAACUUGGUUGUGCUUGGUGAUGUUCUGCAUUUGCUGAACUGAGAAAAUCUGUUCCCUGAGAAAUGUGAAGGGUUGUUUGGGGAGGUGGGAGGAGAAGGUAAUGGGAAAAGAGUACAGAAAAAGCUGUGAUUCUUCUGUUACUUAGUGUCUAUCCAAGUGUCUCUUGAUUAAAUCUCUUUCCCUGUUAAUGAUUCCCUUCCUGCCUCAUCAGUGAUUCCACAUUGCUGCUGUGUGAGUUGGUCACAAUGAGAUGCAGCUCUCACUUAAUGAUAGGAGAAACGAAGCUUCUGUGGUGUAGGAGGGCUAGAGUACACAUCAUUGCUCCCACGGGAGCAAACAGCCUUUCAAAUCCUACCCGCUGUAAUUACAUGGACAUGUGAAUGCCGUCCUUUUAUUUAAUCUGCUUUUUUUUUUCCUUUCCCCCCACAGUGUUUUUCUUUCAGGUUUGCUCCUUCUCUCUGCAGAGUCUGCGUCCUAGUUCUGUUUGAGGAGGUUUGGCCCUCUGUGCUUGAUGAUAGCGUAGUGAUCUCAAUGGGGAAGCUGGUCGAACGUUACAUAGAAAAUGAUUCCGAAAUGAAUGAGUGGGACUUAAACCAGUAAGGAAUCUCAAGGGUUUAGAAGAUAGCUUCAAUUUAGCUGUCAGCAAUGCGUGCUUGUUUUGUGUGUUAAUGUACUCGGUGUGGUGUCAUUCAUCCAGCGACCCCCAUUUUCCUGAAAUACAGGAGAACGUGCCCUAUUUUCACCCAGCUGGAAGAGGGAAUUAGUCAGAAGGACUGAAAUAAUUUGGCCAAAAUCACACGAGACGUAAUGCCAAGCCAGAAUAUACCUUCCUUAAUUCCCA